rnacentral:rRNA from 1 species
AUACGGAGGGUCCGAGCGUUAUCCGGAAUCAUAGGGUUUAAAGGGUCCGUAGGCGGGAAUCUAAGUCAGUGGUGAAAUCUUGCAGCUCAACUGUAAAAUUGCCAUUGAUACUGGAUUUCUUGAAUUAGUGUGAAGUGGUUAGAAUGUGUAGUGUAGCGGUGAAAUGCAUAGAUAUUACACAGAAUACCAAUUGCGAAGGCAGAUCACUAACACUAUAUUGACGCUAAGGGACGAAAGCGUGGGGAGCGAACAGGAUUAGAAACCCUAGUAGUCC